UGUUCCUGUGCUGUCCUGAACCCAGCAGCAACCAGCAGCCUCCUGCAGAUUAGAAACCUCCUUUCACCCUGGGGAUUUCUGUAGCCGGUUCUUUCGUUGGCACACUUGCUCUUGUGCUAAAAUUGUCCUGCGAUGGCUCUUCCUCCUCUGUGCUCGGUGGAGAUGCAGCAGCAAUCCUCUCCGCUUCAGCUUUCAUCUUGCCAGGCUAAACCCCAGCUCCUCUCGCAUUUACGAUUCUACAAAGGCCUCUUUUUGCAGCCCUUCUCAGCACCUUCCCAAACAGCUUGUUUCUGAGCUAAAGCAACCAGACCCAUGUGCUCUGCCCCUCACCAGGCACAAACCUGUACAAGGCAAGCCACCUUUUGUCUUCUGACAGUAUCUCACCAAAUCCUAGGACUAUAACAUAUUCCAGGGUUGAAUGUUAAGCAAAGGAAGUUAAAUUCCUGGACAGUCCUUCAUGCCAUACCUCAGGAAAAGUGCAAGUAACUAAGUGGCCUAUGUAACAGGUUACAGAGCAAAACACAGUGUAGUAUGAAGGGUGCAGUGACAAUGUUGAAAAAGGCUAUGUUAUAAAAUUCAUGUCCUUUACCACUUUGAAGUCCUAAUUUUUCACUUUGAUGCCUAAAGAGAAUUUUCACCUUUUUAGAUACUGAUAAACUAUAUCAGUCUCAGUUUUCUCAAUUUAGGAUUGUAUUCCCUCUUGAUGGGUGUUUGAAAAGGGUUCCACACCUCGCCAAAGGAGCUGUCUGACUGCGUAUAUCCACAAGAUGUAGAGAGAAAGUCUUUUGAAAAAUACCCUGACACAUACCAAUGUCUCUGCCUCAUCCUAGGAAGAGGCAUGUAGACUGCGUGAACAGCCUGUACGUUUGGAUUUGGGAGCUUUGCAUUGCAUUAGAAGGGAAGAAGGCAUCUAGGAGAAAAGAUGUGAUUUUUCCAAAUACAGUUAUCUAGGAAAAUCCCUCUCUCCCUUCACAGCCUGCAAGGUAUGACAUGUGGAAGGUAAGCGCGCCAUUCCUGCGCCACGCUGUGGGACUCUUCUGGCACGGGAUUUCAGGAAGCCAGGAAAGGAUCAGAGAGCAGCACUUGGGGGAAGGGAGUAACAUGGGAGCCGCCCUGCCUGCAACACUUAAUCCCCUGAAACCAACCUCUCUGAGCAAGUGCAACCACAGACAAGCUUCCUUUGUACUGGCUGCAGCCUUCGCCAGACCAGGCUCUCCCUGAACAAGAAGGUCACUGAGGCAUUGUGCUGCUUCGCAAUAAAGGAACCGCCUAGGGCAGACUUUUGUCUGGUUUGGGAUCCCUGCCACAAAAAAAUCUGCUUUAUGAAAACUGCAUUAAUGUGAGCAACUCUGUAUCACAGACUUUACUAAAGCAUCCCUAGAUAGGAAAGAUGCUCAGUGAGAAAUGUUUCUAAUUAGUUUGAUUAUGAAUGUUUGAUUUCUGAUUACCAGUCUAUUGACUAAAGAGUGAAUUUCUCCAUUAAUUACAUUAGAAAUUAGCAUGAAGGAAUGUCGGUAAACAUUUGGAGCAUCCCUUUCUCCCACAUUCUUCUUCCCCUCUGUGGUAAAGUUGGACCUCUCUGUGAAACUGAAUUUCUGAUUUCAAAGAAAUGAUCUCCUGUAUUUACAAAGGAAAAAGCCCAAUAUCUUUAUUAUGGUCUCAGAAUCUGCUAGAUUGUUCUUAAAAUUCCAAACAAAAAAAAAAAAGAAAAAGAA